rnacentral:rRNA from 1 species
AUUGUAGUAUACAAGGCAUACGGCUCAGUGACGCGUAGUCAACCUAACCUAUGGACGGGAAUAACCUCGGGAAACUGAGAAUAAUGCCCGAUAGAACACUAUACCUGGAAUGGUUUGUGUUCCAAAUGAUUUAUCGCCAUAGGAUGGGACUGCGGCCUAUCAGUUUGUUGGUGAGGUAAUGGCCCACCAAGACUAUUACAGGUACGGGCUCUGAGAGGAGUAGCCCGGAGAUGGGUACUGAGACACGGACCCAGGCCCUAUGGGGCGCAGCAGGCGAGAAAACUUUGCAAUGUGCGAAAGCACGACAAGGUUAAUCCGAGUGAUUUGUGCUAAACGAAUCUUUUGUUAGUCCUAGAAACACUAACGAAUAAGGGGUGGGCAAGUUCUGGUGUCAGCCGCCGCGGUAAAACCAGCACCUCAAGUGGUCAGGAUGAUUAUUGGGCCUAAAGCAUCCGUAGCCGGCUCUGUAAGUUUUCGGUUAAAUCUGUACGCUUAACGUACAGGCUGCCGGGAAUACUGCAGAGCUAGGGAGUGGGAGAGGUAGACGGUACUCGGUAGGAAGUGGUAAAAUGCUUUGAUCUAUCGAUGACCACCUGUGGCGAACGCGGUCUACCAGAACACGUCCGACGGUGAGGGAUGAAGCUGGGGGAGCAAACCCGGAUUAGAUACCCUGGUUAGUCCCAGCUGUAAACUAUGCAAACUCAGUGGAAUGCCAUACUGCUGUCCAAUGCAGUGACAU